CGAUCUUUCUGGCCAAUCAGGAGACACGUCCUCCGGCGCGCUCCUUUCCUGCCCCGCCCCCUCCCGUCUCCAUGGGAACGUUCUGAGUGUCCAGUCCCAGGCCUGAGGCUUUGGUUUUGGUCAAACAGGGUGGCAGAUGUUGUUUGGACGGAGUAUUUGAGUUGGUUCCUGUUCCUCUCCAGAGGCUCCGUAGGUGACGCGGACUCUCAGGAGCACCGAACCAGAAGCAGACAAGGACGAGAAGAGCUGUGGCGGAAGAGGGAGGGCCAGGUGUCGAGAAGUCGUUCAGGCUUAGAAAUCUCGGACUCCAGUGAAGGGACCUGUGAUCAGCAAGGGAGGACCAGAGUGUCAAAGACUAAUGCCCCCAUUUUACAGCUCAGCCUUCUCAACACUCCACCCUUCCCUAGAAAAGGAGCACAAAGGAGGAAAGAAUGGUCACUCUUUCCCUCACAGUCUGAUCCUGGAAGAUAUCAUUCCAGCAAGAAGACCAUCAUUUAGUCUGCGGCAGAAUAUGAGGGGCUUCCCUGGUGGCUCAGCGGUAAAGAAUUCGCCUGAAAUACAGGAGCUGCAGGAACCGCAGUUUUGAUCCCUGCGUCAGGAUGAUCCCCUGGAGGGGUCUUGCCAGGAGAAUCCCAUGGACAGAGGAGUUUGGCAGGAUCAGUCCAUAGCGUCACGAAUAGACAGGACUGAAGUGACUUAGCACACAUGCACAUGGAAAGAUAAGUAUAUAUAAAAAAGUUCGAAUCAUGAUAGAUAGGCUCCAUGAGGGCAGAGAAUGUUCCCAGUAUCUAGAACAAUGCCUGGCAUAUAGUAAGCACUCAAUGAAUAGCUGUUGAAUAUGUGAAUGGCUGUUAUAUGUUUCAUUUUUUCAUUUAACAUAUGAAGUGGACAUUUUUCCAAGUAUGUUUUGGUAGCAUGAGUUUUAAUGGCUAUAUAAUCUUUCAUUCCAAGUGUAUACCAUGCUUUAUUUAAAUUUUCUUUUAUUGGGAAAAACUUAAGUAUUUCCCAAUAUUUUGCUAUUAUAAGCAACUUCCAAUAAAUAUUCUUAUAAUUUAUCA
rnacentral:lncRNA from 1 species